rnacentral:rRNA from 1 species
UCCGGUUGAUCCUGCCGGAGGCGACCGCUUUUGGAGUUCGAUUAAGCCAUGCGAGUCGAGAGCCUUAGGGGCUCGGCAUACUGCUCAGUAACACGUGGAUAACCUGCCCUAUUGUCUGGAAUAACCUCGGGAAACUGAGAACAAGGCCGGAUAGCCCACAAUGCCUGGAACGGUUUGUGGGUGAAGAUAGGAUGGGUCUGCGGCGUAUCAGGUUGUAGGGGGUGUAAUGGACCUCCUAGCCAUCGACGCGUACGGGUGUUGGGAGACAUAGCCCGGAGAUGGAUUCUGAGACACGAAUCCAGACCCUACGGGGUGCAGCAGGCGCGAAAACUUCACACUGCAGGAAACUGUGAUGAGGGAACUCCAAGUGCUAUCACUAUGUGGUAGCUUUUCUUGACUAUUAAUCGGUCAUGGAAUAAGGGCUGGGAAAGACCGGUGCCAGCCGCCGCGGUAAUACCGGCAGCUCAAGUGGUCGUCGCUUUUAUUGGGCCUAAAACGUCCGUAGCCUGUUUGGUACAUCUGUGGGUAAAUCAACCAGCUUAACUGGUUGAAUUCUGCAGAGACUGCCAGACUAGGGACCGGGAGAGGUGUGGGGUACUCUAAGGGUAGGGGUA